GACGAACGCUGGCGGCGUGCUUAACACAUGCAAGUCGAACGGAAAGGCCCUGCUUUUGUGGGGUGCUCGAGUGGCGAACGGGUGAGUAACACGUGAGUAACCUGCCCUUGACUUUGGGAUAACUUCAGGAAACUGGGGCUAAUACCGGAUAGGAGCUCCUGCUGCAUGGUGGGGGUUGGAAAGUUUCGGCGGUUGGGGAUGGACUCGCGGCUUAUCGGCUUGUUGGUGGGGUAGUGGCUUACCAAGGCGUUGACGGGUAGCCGGCCUGAGAGGGUGACCGGCCACACGAGAACUGGGAGACGGUCGAGAGGCCUACGGGAGGCAGCAGGGGGGAAUAUGGGACAGUGGGCGCAAGCCUGAUCCAGCCAUGCCGGGUGGGUGAAGAAGGCCUUCGGGUGGUAAAGCCUUUUUGUUGGGAAAGAAAAGCAGAAGGUUAAUACACCGCUGUUCUGACGGUACCCAAAGAAUAAGCACCGGCUAACUUCGUG
rnacentral:rRNA from 1 species